CGCUCCGAAGGACAGCCGCGCAGGCCGCGCCUCCGGUGGCGGGGAACGACGGGAGUAAACCCUGCGUUCGGCCUGAUGCCCCCACUCUUCCUCCUCCGACCGAACUUUGGUGCCGUGGACCCCGCGACAUCCGGCUCCUGCACCACGGUCACGAGAAGCAGCACGUUUUAAUUCUAAAGCCUCGGGCUUUCCUUCCUAAGCGAGUUGUUCCAAAACAUCGCAUUUUCCGGAUUCCGAGUGACAAGGGACAGUAAGGCAGAGAAGGUGCGGAUCGUCCCUGCAACGCUAACUACAAGGCCUGGGAGGGCUGCGCUCCAGCUCGCAGACAGCGGAGAGCUCACGUUCCUCCCUCGCUCCCCACCUCCGUCCCUGUUAGCUUCUCCGAUUAGGACCGCAGCGCAGGUCUGGGCCCACACAGGUGAGGACGUGUGCGAAGCUGAUUGCUGGUUGGAACCGAGUCCCUGGCUCUGUUGAGCGAAUGAGCUUGCCCCGCCCACACACGUGAACUUGUCCGUCCUCCUGGAGGAAGAAAGAUUCCCGAAGCAAAGUACCGAGUAGCAGAACGAGGGACGGGGUGUUGGCCUCCCCCUGUUUCCCCGUGGAAGAAGGGAUGCAUGCCUGCUGCGAAUCUGGGGGUUCGCGUUCCGCAGAGAAGAGCAGAAGUGUAGAAGUGCUUUGAAGUGAUCGCUCGCUGGGUGCACACUUUGAUUGGUCUGAGGGCGACAGUUCGGCCUCUUCCCUGGCUCUUCAAAAUCUUUAUUUCAGGGCCUGCUUACUUCCAAAGUGCGGCUGCUCAUCAGAGCCACCUAAGGAGCUCCCAGGGCAGCCGAGGCCCCAGCCCCCGAUCUUCUCUCCAGGACAGAAACUCAUUCUGUCUGUUCUGGUGGGGCAUGCGUGAUCACUAGUAAAGCAGUUGCUAAUGAAAACUGGGCUUUCCCCUGUGGCCCCCAUCUGCACAGGUAGGGGAAGCACUGUUGUUUUUACAGCUCCUGUGUCUUUCUCCCGGGCCACCGCUGAACUAUGUAAAUAACUAGCUGGUUUUCCUUUUCUCUCAUUCUCAAGCCCCACAUAAUUCACAUAGUAGUCCUUUUCAUAUUUGUCUAUAAAUAAGUGAAUGCAGUCCAGGGAUCAGUUCACGUAAACUGCAUUUGCAGUUAUAUUAAAAGCAUCAGGUCCAGAAUGUGUCCCUUAACCUGCUUCCUCCUGGAAUCCUUUGCGUCCUCUUCCAGGACCUUCUCUCUGCAUUUCUUCCACACAACACUUUGAUUAUUCCUCCUCCUUUUUCCUAGUUCUUUUCCUUUUCUGGACAUUUUUUUCCUUAGCUGUUUGUCCCUCUCGUUCUGUGCUACCUUUAUUUUAGUUCCCCAGUGAACUGAAGUUGUUGGAGGACUGGCACCAGAGCACCGGAGUUUUCAUUUGUGUGUAUUCUGACCUUCAGUUCCCAAGGGAUGCUUGCUGGCCCACUCCUGGGUUUCCAGAAGGAGAACAUGGGGUCUGGAACAGUCGGCCCCCAGGGGUAGACGUCAGGAGGUACAGACUGUGCUCGAGUCACCAUCCGCCGUCUGCCUCCCUUUGUCUUCUACUUUUUGUAACAAAAAUUAUCAACUUCGAAUCCCUUAAGAGUGGCCCGUAUCACUGCCCAAACCUCUCACGUUUGCGGGUACUGGCCCGGCCCCUGAGUGCAUUCUGCCUGCAAACAGAGACAGCCCACUUGGACAAGGGUAUGGACCUGGCUGAAAAUCACAACUACACUGGAAAUGGGAAACCAUUUGUUCAUAAAUUUACCAAAAAAAGGAAAUUUCAAGACAGCCUCAUUAAAGACCUGUUAAAAGUUCAUUUACUAGAUAGCUGUUGCUCCUUUGUGAAAACAAAAUUAAAUGUAAAGAACUAAACGAAAAUUAUACUAAGUCACCUUUGCUCCAAUUAUUCUUUCAUUUCAUGACUGCAGACAAAUGUCCUAUCAGAUCAACUCACGAUGUGCACUGAAGAUGUACAUGUUCAGCACCACCCCUUUGUGCUCCUGCAGGCUGAAACCCCUCCAGUAACAGUCAGGGGACAUUAAGGAAAUUGCUGAUUCAGGACGUGGAGGCGGACAUGAAGAGACACUUACGCCGUCCAUGACAGUGGUUGGUAAAGCGUUACCUGCACUGCAACCUGAGUGGCCUUACAUCAUCUCCCGUGGGUAACUGCAGUGAGGGCCUGAUGAACACACAGUAGGAGUGACCAGACAGCUGUGACCAGGACACAGCAUGAUGGGAACAGCUCCUACGAUUUAAAGGAAAUAAGGGUCAUUAGGGUGUAGGAGUCCAGGUAGCAACUUAACCCCCAGAGUCAAGGCAGGUGUGACUGUCACAGUAGGUGAUAGGGUGGGUGUAUCAGAAAGGUGUGACCUACACGGGUCCUUGGGAGUGACUAAAGGAUUACAAAGUCCCGAGGACUGAAAAGUCUGAAUAUUACACUAAGUUCCUGCUGUUUCUGGCCACUUAGGUUCUUAUCCUCAGGUUCAUUUGUGCACCACUGACCAAAUCAAAGGAGGCUAUAAUGUUUGGGUAAAAAGGAAAAGGGUUUAUUGAAGGCCAGCUUGGCGGACAUGGAGGGCCCGUUUGUCUCAGGUCACCGUCUUCCCUGCACAGGCGGACAAGGGACGUUGGUAGUAAGGAGCUGAGGGGAACACAGAGUCAGUGUUGAGCUCCACACUUGCUUUAUCACUUCUGGCCUCUUCAGCUGUGGCCUCCUGGGGCUGCUGGCACCUGCAUAUUCUGUCCGUUCUUCUGAGCUGAGAAGACCUGGGGGAGUCUUUAUGCCCUAAGCCUGAGGACACCUGGAGAAACUAUUUGUCUCUAAAAGAAAAACCCUAACUUGUAAAGUUCCACUUUGCACUGUCCAUUACACGGCUUAAUCUCUACAACCAAGAUGCCUGCGGUUGAGGUCAGCCUAGACCUGACUUGCACUAUCACAAGAGCAAAUUGUCUCCUGAUCUGUUCUUCAGACCUGGAGUGGGCCCUGGAGUCUAGGUGCACUCAAAGGCAGGCGAGUCCUGCAUCACCAGGAGAUGCCUGCAUUCCUCCUGAUCUUGCCCAGAGGCCCCAGGUUUAUUCUGGAUCAUCACACUGCUGAUAUCGCACAGCUGGGACCUGGUG
ensembl:lncRNA